rnacentral:misc_RNA from 1 species
AAAAAAAGUUAACUUUUGAUUGAACUCUGGAAGGUAAAUGUUAAAAGACAACACCAUAUCUUUAAGGUACACCAAAAUACAUUUUUAACGAGGUUUUUGUGACAGUAUAUACUACGCCAGUGAUGGAUCAGAGUCAUUUUCACUCCCUGGCCUGACAAAGAAGUAAGCAAUAUGGUUUGUAGUUGCAACGGGAUAGGAACAAGUUUUCAGGUCACAGAUUUAUGGUACACCACACCAAAGAGUUCAAUUGUAAGUACUACAACUGGCAGCUCCCUGAAAUAAUGGAACUAUCUGCACAAGCACGAACUAGCUGCAUACAGACAUGGGGAAUAUUGACUCCAACGGUGAUUAAGACGGGUCUCAAAUAAACAAGCAAAAAAACCUUCUACCCCGUUGUUUGACUUGGCACAAGGUCGCUGGGAAGAACAUAAUCAAGAGGGCCAAUUUGGCGCUCCUAUAUAAGGUGAAACCAGUUAUGAGAAUUUCACAUUAGCAGGGGGGGAAAUGCCGAUGAUAAGAAUGCUUAAAAUGCCAUUUUGGAAGUUUGCUACCUUGAUGGGGGCAGAUUUUUA